CAAGGGGAAAAAAAUAAAAUAAAAUAAAGCACCCCGUCCAUUUGUCAGAAGACAGAUGCAAGUGGUCAUCUCAGAUCUGAACUUGAAUCAUAAUAAUCUGUUCAUGUUUGGUUCAAAUGCAGUCUUCAGAAUCUGUACAAAGGAACAUUUUUAAAAUUACCUCAAGCCUGUUUGUCAUUUCCUUCCAUUUAAGCCUGUACAUCCACCAAUUCCGCUGGCAUAGGUGACUUUGGAUGUUUGCUCUCAAAAUGCUGCUUAAAUGUCUUGGGAUCAGGCAUCUGUGUCUGAAGGGGGAGGGGAAAAAAAAAAAAAAAAAAGUAAAGCACCACCUCUCUGUAAAUCAUUUGUGCUCUUAAAAA